CCUACGGGGGGCAGCAGUGGGGAAUAUUGGACAAUGGGCGCAAGCCUGAUCCAGCCAUGCCGCGUGAGUGAUGAAGGCCUUAGGGUUGUAAAGCUCUUUUGUCCGGGAAGAUAAUGACGGUACCGGAAGAAUAAGCCCCGGCUAACUUCGUGCCAGCAGCCGCGGUAAUACGAAGGGGGCUAGCGUUGCUCGGAAUCACUGGGCGUAAAGCGCACGUAGGCGGAUCUUUAAGUCAGAGGUGAAAUCCCAGGGCUCAACCCUGGAACUGCCUUUGAUACUG
rnacentral:rRNA from 1 species